UACAGAGGGUGCGAGCGUUGUUCGGAAUUACUGGGCGUAAAGCGCGCGCAGGCGGCUCUUUAAGUCUGACGGUGAAAUGCCGGGGCUCAACCCCGUGCCUGCCGGAGAUACUGGGGAGCUGGAGACGAGUAGAGGCAAGCGGAAUUCCGGGUGUAGCGGUGGAAUGCGUAGAGAUCCGGAGGAACACCGGAGGCGAAGGCGGCUUACUGGUCCGGUCCUGACGCUGAGGCGCGAAAGCGUGGGGAGCAAACAGG
rnacentral:rRNA from 1 species